rnacentral:lncRNA from 1 species
GCGACCUCCCUGGGAACCUCUCCUAUCUACCUUCAGUCCCUAUGCAUCCGCUUCCUCCCAAUUCCUCUUGCCCUCACUCAUCAUAAGCAUAUGAGGAGGCUUUGGGAGGACAGUCUUAGUUGGAACAAGGAUUUUCAGGCUGUAGAGACCAGAGAAUGCUUGUCCUGGGAUGUGUGAGAGAUGGUUCCCAGAGAGACGCCUGGAAAUCAGAGACAAGGGUCAGCGAUGUUGGCA